CCAAAUCCUAAAGGGGUUGAAAUAAGCAUAAUCUGAUGCCGUUUAAUUGGCGGAGUGUUGAAUGGACUCACGAGGGCAAGGCUGUCUUGGGCCGAGAACGCAAUGAAUUAGACAUGGUCGUGAAGAGGCGAUCUAGACCGAUAAGACGAAAAGACCCCGUGAAGCUUUACUAUACCCUAGCAGAUCCCAUGAGGGGCUCCUCCCUGGUCGUAUAUGCUUAACGGCAAUGGCAUAGGGAGGGGCAAUGAUCCGAUUGGUCGCUGCUAGGUUGGUAGUUUUGGUGGGGCGCCAGCACAUUAAAGGGAACGUGGAGUUGAUUAAGCCAUAAUAGGUAUAGCCUAGUGUAGGGAACAUCCUUAUACAGGGUCGAACGACGGUUAAAUGACCCGCCUAUAAGCAUACUAAGAUAGACGACAAAGGAUAAAAGCUACUCCGGGGAUAACAGG
rnacentral:rRNA from 1 species